rnacentral:rRNA from 1 species
UACGGGGGGAGCAAGCGUUGUUCGGAUUUACUGGGCGUAAAGGGCGCGUAGGCGGCCACGACAAGUCACUUGUGAAAUCUCCGGGCUUAACUCGGAACGGUCAAGUGAUACUGUCGGGCUAGAGUGCAGAAGGGGCAACUGGAAUUCUCGGUGUAGCGGUGAAAUGCGUAGAGAUCAGGAAGAACACCAGUGGCGAAGGCGCUCUGCUAGGCCGUAACUGACACUGAGGGACGAAAGCUAGGGGAGCGAAUGGG